rnacentral:rRNA from 1 species
AUGCUGACGAGCGGCGGACGGGUGAGUAAUGCAUAGGAAUCUGCCCGAUAGUGGGGGAUAACCUGGGGAAACCCAGGCUAAUACCGCAUACGUCCUACGGGAGAAAGGGGGCUUUGGCUCCCGCUAUUGGAUGAGCCUAUGUCGGAUUAGCUAGUUGGUGAGGUAAUGGCUCACCAAGGCAACGAUCCGUAGCUGGUCUGAGAGGAUGAUCAGCCACAUCGGGACUGAGACACGGCCCGAACUCCUACGGGAGGCAGCAGUGGGGAAUAUUGGACAAUGGGGGCAACCCUGAUCCAGCCAUGCCGCGUGUGUGAAGAAGGCCCUCGGGUUGUAAAGCACUUUCAGCGAGGAAGAACGCCUGGCGGUUAAUACCCGCCAGGAAAGACAUCACUCGCAGAAGAAGCACCGGCUAACUCCGUGCCAGCAGCCGCGGUAAUACGGAGGGUGCAAGCGUUAAUCGGAAUUACUGGGCGUAAAGCGCGCGUAGGUGGCUUGAUAAGCCGGUUGUGAAAGCCCCGGGCUCAACCUUGGAACGGCAUCCGGAACUGUCAGGCUAGAGUGCAGGAGAGGAAGGUAGAAUUCCCGGUGUAGCGGUGAAAUGCGUAGAGAUCGGGAGGAAUACCAGUGGCGAAGGCGGCCUUCUGGACUGACACUGACACUGAGGUGCGAAAGCGUGGGUAGCAAACAGGAUUAGAUACCCUGGUAGUC